UUAACAAUCAUGAGUCUGGGGUUAAGAGGGAAUGUGAGAUUAAUCAUUGGAGUAAUUUGCAACAUCUUUUAGAGAAAAGACUAGUCCGAACAACACUUUUUUGUUUAUGUGUCCAUAAAACUCAUUAUGUGUAGCAGAACGUCGUCAGGCAUCUCACUGAUCUAUCCUGUUUGAUGGAACCCAACUAUGAUUGAUCGACUCGUAACGUACUCUCAGCAGCUCCUUCGGAAACACCAUCUCCUCCUUCGAAUCCCCGAAAGACACAACGAACGUUCCGUCCCCUAAAUCUACGCUAACAUGACCCUCCCUCCAGCGACGAUCGAGGGCCACAUCCACCUUGUCACCGGACUUGAAUUCGCGGCUCUAUGGCGAGGGAAGUGCUCGCAGCUGAAGACCAGGAUUCACAUAAGGAUAAAGCAACUAAGCGCAAGUUUUAC
rnacentral:lncRNA from 1 species